UCCGGUUGAUCCUGCCGGAGGCCACCGCUAUUGGAGUACGCUUAAGCCAUGCGAGUCGAGAGUCUUAGGGACUCGGCGGACUGCUCAGUAACACGUGGAUAACCUACCCUCAGGAGGGGAAUAGCCUUGGGAAACUGAGACUAAUACCCCAUAAGCUCAGCAUGCUGGAAUGCAGUUGAACUCAAAAGCUCCGGCGCCUGAGGACGGGUCUGCGACCUAUCAGGUAGUAGUGAGGGUAACGACCUCACUGGCCAGCGACGGGUACGGGCCAUGGGAGUGGUAGCCCGGAGAUGGACUCUGAGACACGAGUCCAGGCCCUACGGGGCGCAGCAGGCGCGAAAACUUCGCAAUGCGGGAAACCGCGACGAGGGUACUCCAAGUGCCAUAACUUUGUUAUGGCUUUUCACCUGCCUAAAAAGCUGGUGGAAUAAGGGCUGGGUAAGUCUGGUGCCAGCCGCCGCGGUAAUACCAGCAGCUCAAGUGGUGGUCGUUAUUAUUGAGCCUAAAGCGUCCGUAGCCUGGCUAGUAAACCCUUGGGUAAAUCGGGGAGCUCAACUCUCCGACUUCCGAGGAGACUGCUAGCCUUGGGACUGGGAGAGGUCGGAGGAACUCUCAGGGUAGGGGUGAAAUCCUGUAAUCCUUAGAGGACCACCAGUGGCGAAGGCGUCCGACUAGAACGGGUCCGACGGUGAGGGACGAAGCCCAGGGGAACAAACCGGAUUAGAUACCCGGGUAGUCCUGGGUGUAAACGCUGCAGGCUUGGUGUUGGGGGUCUUACGAGGGCGCCCAGUGCCGGAGAGAAGUUGUUAAGCCUGCCGCUUGGGGAGUACGGUCGCAAGAUUGAAACUUAAAGGAAUUGGCGGGGGAGCACCGCAACGGGUGGAGCGUGCGGUUUAAUUGGAUUCAACGCCGGAAAACUCACCGGGGGCGACUCUUACAUGAAGGCCAGGCUGAUGACCUUGCCAGAUUUUGAGAGAGGUGGUGCAUGGCCGCCGUCAGUUCGUACCGUGAGGCGUUCUGUUAAGUCAGAUAACGAACGAGAUCCCUACCCUUAAUUGCAACCAUCAUCUCCGGAAGGUGGGCACAUUAAGGGGACCGCCGCUGCUAAAGCGGAGGAAGGUGGGGGCAACGGUAGGUCAGUAUGCCCCGAAUCUCCCGGGCUACACGCGCGCUACAAAGGAUGGGACAAUGGGCUCCUACCCCGAAAGGGGACGGCAAACCCGAAACCCAUUCUAAGUUCGGAUUGAGGGCUGUAAUUCGCCCUCAUGAAGCUGGAAUCCGUAGUAAUCGCGUAUCAACAUUACGCGGUGAAUAUGCCCCUGCUCCUUGCACACACCGCCCGUCAAAACCAUCUGAGUUGGGUUUCGAUGAGGACUUCUCUACCUGGGGAGCUCAAGUCGAGGUUCAGCGAGGAGGGUUAAGUCGUAACAAGGUA
rnacentral:rRNA from 1 species